UGCCCGAUAGAACAUUAUAUCUGGAAUGGUUUAUGUUCCAAAUGAUUUAUCGCCGUAGGAUGGGACUGCGGCCUAUCAGUUUGUUGGUGAGGUAAUGGCCCACCAAGACUAUUACAGGUACGGGCUCUGAGAGGAGUAGCCCGGAGAUGGGUACUGAGACACGGACCCAGGCCCUAUGGGGCGCAGCAGGCGAGAAAACUUUGCAAUGUGCGAAAGCACGACAAGGUUAAUCCGAGUGGUUUGUGCUAAACGAACCUUUUGUCAGUCCUAGAAACACUAACGAAUAAGGGGUGGGCAAGUUCUGGUGUCAGCCGCCGCGGUAAAACCAGCACCUCAAGUGGUCAGGAUGAUUAUUGGGCCUAAAGCAUCCGUAGCCGGCUCUGUAAGUUUUCGGUUAAAUCUGUACGCUCAACGUACAGGCUGCCGGGAAUACUGCAGAGCUAGGGAGUGGGAGAGGUAGACGGUACUCGAUAGGAAGGGGUAAAAUCCUUUGAUCUAUUGAUGACCACCUGUGGCGAAGGCGGUCUACCAGAACACGUCCGACGGUGAGGGAUGAAAGCUGGGGGAGCAAACCGGAUUAGAUACCCGGGUAGUCCCAGCUGUAAACUAUGCAAACUCAGUGAUGCAUUGGCUUGUGGCCAAUGCAGUGCUGCAGGGAAGCCGUUAAGUUUGCCGCCUGGGAAGUACGUACGCAAGUAUG
rnacentral:rRNA from 1 species